rnacentral:rRNA from 1 species
UACAGAGGUGCCAAGCGUUAGGCGGAGUCACUGGGCUUAAAGCGCGUGUAGGUGGACGGGUAAGUAUCUUGUGAAAUCCCACGGCUCAACCGUGGAACUGCUGGAUAUACUGCUUGUCUUGAGGCACUUAGGGGCAGCUGGAACAAAUGGUGGAGCGGUGAAAUGCGUAGAUAUCAUUUGGAACGCCAAAGGCGAAAGCAGGCUGCUGGGAGUGAUCUGACACUGAGACGCGAAAGCCAGGGGAGCAAACGGG